rnacentral:lncRNA from 1 species
AGAGUAUUGUAUUAGAGAAAGAUCGUAUUGCAUUGUAAUCCUAAACUGAAUAGGUUCUCCACCUCUUCUAAUUAGCUUGGGUAACCAUGACAUACUGUGGAAGCCCUAAACAUGUAUAAUCACUAAAGGGAGAAUUGAAAGUAAGUUUCAAUUCACCAUUGAUUUGAAAGAGUUCUAAUCACCCACUGCCUCGCUAAAAAGAACCUAAUGGAUCGUACACAAUGCAAGGUAGAGAUUGAAGAAACAACGGAGAUGAGUAAGGAUAAUUAAAUGGUUUAAUUAUUUAUUGCAAGGAUUAAUUAAUAUGUUAAUUAAUCAAACGAAUAAUGUUCGUUAAAGACCUCGGGUUAGUUUUGAGCCUCAAGGCCCAUUGGGCUUCGAACGUCUAGCCCAUUUACUUAAGUUGUAUGAAAACUUAAUCACUAAUAAUUCACAAAGGCCCAAACAGCUCAAUAAAACCCUAUGGCCGGCCAUUGUGAUAAAGGAGUGGAUUUUGGACUUAUUACAAGUUUGCCACUCCAAUGAAGGUAGGUAUAAAUGUGACUUUAUAGCCUUUUCUUCAUUAGGGUUUCUUUUGGAGAAAAAGAUGAGAACACAAGCUCUCUUUUCUCUCUAAGAGGCCGGCCACCCUAGAGGAUUUUAGCUAGCAAUCUUUCUUCCUCUAGGUCACUCAUCUCUUCUUCAAGUCCUACCUUGGUGUGGAGACUUAGAGGUUCUCAACUUUGGGAACUUGAAGAAUCCUUUCAACCAUCCUCAUCCAAGAAAUCCAUAGAGCUAAGAAGCAAGGAAUGAAGGCCCUAUCCUUGGGUGAUUAGCCUUUGCUUAUGCAAAGAGGAAUCAACAAAGGUAUAAGAUUUCUCAACUCACUUUGUUCUUGAGUUGAGUCUUGGUUCACCCUUCUACUAGGCUUUGAAUUUCAUAGGUAAUGCUUUUUUUUUUUUGAGUGCAUACAAGCAUGAUUCCACCUUUAAUUGUUAAUUGCAUGCCAUAGAUGUUGCUCAAAUGGACAUGUUUUCACAAAUUUUCCAUCAUCUUCCUCCUUGAUCUUGGACAAAAUUGCACCUACAAAACAACUAACACCUUUGGUUAAGACCGUAUUGCAUUGUAAUCCUAAACUGAAUAGGUUAUCCACCUCUUCUGAUUAGCUUGGGUAACCAUGACAUACUGCUAGGUGUCACUCAUGGUUUGUGGAAGCCCUAAACAUGUAUAAUCACUAAAGGGAGAAUUGAAAGUAAGUUUCAAUUCACAAUCGAUUUGAAAGAGUUCUAAUCGCCCAGUGCCUCGCUAAAAGGAACCUAAUGGAUCGCACACCGUGUAAGGUAAUACUUGAAGGAUUUAACGGAGAUGAGUAAAGACAAUUAAAUGGUUUAAUUGUUUAUGGCAAGAAUUAAUUAAUAUGUUGAUUAAUCAAAUGAAUAAGUUCAUUUUAAACCUUGAGUUAGUUUUGGGCCUUAAAGCCCAAAUUUGGCUUCGAAUCGUCAUGCCCAUUGCUUAAGUUGUAUGACAACUUAACAAACAAAAUUCAAGAAGCCCAAAAUAGCCCAAAGGCUUGGGAAACCCGGCCAUAUAGAGAGGGGUAGUGAACUUGGCUUAAUUGCAAGUUUGCCACUCCAUUGUGAGGUCGUAUAAAGGCAACUUUAUAGCCAUUUCAUCCUUAGGGUUUCUUUUGGAGAAAAAGAUGAGAACACAAGCUCCUUUUUCUCUCUAAGAGGCCGGCCACCCUAGAGGAUUUUAGCUAGCAAUCUUACUUCCUCUAGGUCACUCAUCUCUUCUUCAAGUCCUACCUUGGUGUGGAGACUUAGAGGUUCUCAACUUUGGGAACUUGGAGAAUCCUUUCAACCAUGUUCAUCCAAGAAAUCCAUGGAGCUAAGAAGCAAGGAGGGAACUUGGAGAAUCCUUUCAACCAUGCUCAUCCAAGAAAUCCAUGGAGCUAAGAAGCAAGGAAUGAAGGCCCUCUCACAUGGGUGAUUAACCUUUGCUAAGCAAAGAGGUGCUUCAAAGGUAUAAAAUUUCUCAACUCACUUUGUUCUUGAGUUGUGUCUUGGUUCACAUAACUACUAGGCUUUGAAUUUCAUGGGUAAUGUUUUGUUUUUGAGCGCAUACAAGCAUGAUUCCGCCUUUAAUUGUUAAUUGCAUGCCAUAGAUGUUGCUCAAAUGAACACGUUUUUCACAAAAUUCCCUUCAAGUGGUAUCAUAGCCUAGGUCUAGUAGUUGGUGAAUCCUUUUGGGUUUUGUAUUUUCAUAGUUUAUGAUUUGAAUGUUCUAAUUGUUGAAGGAUUAUUUUGUGAAAACUUGUUCAUUUGAAUAACAUCUAUAGCAUGCAUUUAACAAUUAAAAGGCGGAAUCAUGCUUGCAUGCAUUCAAA